UUUCCAAUUUUCCCUCAUGUUUUCUCUCCUUUUGUUUAAUCCAAUAGUUGAUUCUUUCUCUUCUUUCAUAUAUCAACCAUUGAUUAAACAAAAGGAGAGAAAACAUAAGGGAAAAUUGGGGAG
rnacentral:pre_miRNA from 1 species